rnacentral:rRNA from 1 species
CACUAGGUGUGGGGGACAUUCCACGUUUUCCGCGCCGUAGCUAACGCAUUAAGUGCCCCGCCUGGGGAGUACGGCCGCAAGGCUAAAACUCAAAGGAAUUGACGGGGGCCCGCACAAGCGGCGGAGCAUGCGGAUUAAUUCGAUGCAACGCGAAGAACCUUACCAAGGCUUGACAUAUACUGGACCGCCUCAGAGAUGGGGUUUCCCUUCGGGGCUGGUAUACAGGUGGUGCAUGGUUGUCGUCAGCUCGUGUCGUGAGAUGUUGGGUUAAGUCCCGCAACGAGCGCAACCCUCGUUCUAUGUUGCCAGCACGUUAUGGUGGGGACUCAUAGGAGACUGCCGGGGUCAACUCGGAGGAAGGUGGGGAUGACGUCAAAUCAUCAUGCCCCUUAUGUCUUGGGCUUCACGCAUGCUACAAUGGCCGGUACAAAGGGUUGCGAUACUGUGAGGUUGAGCUAAUCCCAAAAAGCCGGUCUCAGUUCGGAUUGGGGUCUGCAACUCGACCCCAUGAAGUCGGAGUCGCUAGUAAUCGCAGAUCAGCAACGCUGCGGUGAAUACGUUCCCGGGCCUUGUACACACCGCCCGUCAAGUCACGAAAGUUGGUAACACCCGAAGCCGAUGGCCUAACCCUUUUGGGAGGGAGUCGUCGAAGGUGGGAUUGGCGAUUGGGACUAAGUCGUAACAAGGUAACC